rnacentral:rRNA from 1 species
CCUACGGGUGGCUGCAGUCAAGAAUAUUCCGCAAUGGACGAAAGUCUGACGGAGCGACGCCGCGUGCAGGAAGAAGCCCUUCGGGGUGUAAACUGCUUUUCUCUAUGACGAAUUUGUGACGGUAAUAGAGGAAUAAGAGGUUGCUAACUCUGUGCCAGCAGCAGCGGUGAUACAGAGACCUCAAACGUUAUCCGGAUUCAUUGGGCGUAAAGCGUCCGCAGGUGGUUUAUUAAGUUAGUGGUUAAAUCCUGGGGCUUAACUUCAGGACUGCUGUUAAUACUGAUAAACUCGAGGCUGGGAGAGGUGAGCGGAAUUCUCGGUGUAGUCGUAAUAAGCGCUGAUAUCGAGAAGAACACCAAAGGCAAAGGCAGCUCACUAGAACAUGCCUGACACUCAUGGACCAAAGCGUGGGUAGCGAAUGGGAUUAGAUACCCGGGUAGUC